rnacentral:rRNA from 1 species
UACGGGGGGGGCAAGCGUUGUUCGGAAUUACUGGGCGUAAAGGGCUUGUAGGUGGCCAACUAAGUCAGACGUGAAAUCCCUCGGCUUAACCGGGGAACUGCGUCUGAUACUGGAUGGCUUGAGUGUGGGAGAGGGAUGCAGAAUUCCAGGUGUAGCGGUGAAAUGCGUAGAUAUCUGGAGGAACACCGGUGGCGAAGGCGGCAUCCUGGACCAUUACUGACACUGAAAAGCGAAAGCCAGGGGAGCAAACGGG